rnacentral:rRNA from 1 species
CAACAGGGAUUGCCUUAGUAACUGCGAGUGAAGCGGCAAAAGCUCAAAUUUGAAAUCGGAUGUUUUUGACAUUUGAAUUGUAAUUUGGAGGGAUAUCUUCGGAGCUGGCGCUGUCCUAAGUUCUUUGGAACCAGACAUCAUAGAGGGUGAGAAUCCCGUGCCUGGGUGGCUGUCCAGUUCCAUGUGAAGUGUCUCCGACGAGUCGAGUUGUUUGGGAAUGCAGCUCAAAAUGGGUGGUAAAUUUCAUCUAAAGCUAAAUAUUGGCGAGAGACCGAUAGCGCACAAGUAGAGUGAUCGAAAGAUGAAAAGCACUUUGAAAAGAGAGUUAAACAGUACGUGAAAUUGUUGAAAGGGAAGCGCUUGAGACUAGAUUCGGCCGGCGGUCAUCAGCUACGUUUCUACGUGGUGCACUUGCCGUCGGUUGAGCCAGCAUCGGUUUUGAUGGCGGGAUAAAGGUUUCAGGAAUGUGGCUCCUCAAUUUUGAGGAGUGUUAUAGCCUGGAGCGCAAUGCCGCCUGUCGGGACCGAGGACCGCGCUUUUGCUAGGAUGCUGGCUAAAAGGUCUUAAGCGGCCCGUCUUGAAACACGGACCAAGGAGUCUAACAUCUAUGCGAGUGUUCGGGUGGAAAACCCUUGCGCGUAAUGAAAGUGAACGGAGGUGGGAACCCCUUUGGGGUGCACCAUCGACCGAUCCUGAUGUUUACGGAAGGAUUUGAGUAGGAGCAUAGCUGUUGGGACCCGAAAGAUGGUGAACUAUGCCUGAAUAGGGUGAAGCCAGAGGAAACCUUGGUGGAAGCUCGCAGCGGUUCUGACGUGCAAAUCGAUCGUCAAAUUUGGGUAUAGGGG